rnacentral:rRNA from 1 species
AGCGAACGCUGGCGGCAGGCCUAACACAUGCAAGUCGAACGAACUCUUCGGAGUUAGUGGCGGACGGGUGAGUAACACGUUGGAACGUUCCUUUUGGUUCGGAAUAACUCAGGGAAACUUGUGCUAAUACCGAAUGUGCCCUUCGGGGGAAAGAUUUAUCGCCAUUAGAGCGGCCCGCGUCUGAUUAGCUAGUUGGUGAGGUAACGGCUCACCAAGGCGACGAUCAGUAGCUGGUCUGAGAGGAUGACCAGCCACACUGGGACUGAGACACGGCCCAGACUCCUACGGGAGGCAGCAGUGGGGAAUCUUGCGAAAUGGGCGAAAGCAUGACGCAGCCAUGCCGCGUGAAUGAUGAAGGUCUUAGGAUUGUAAAAUUCUUUCACCGGGGACGAUAAUGACGGUACCCGGAGAAGAAGCCCCGGCUAACUUCGUG